GAGUUUCGUAUUGAAAGAGACGCCGCGCAGCUUUCCACUUCCCAGUCUGUUUCGAUCCGCCAUUUUUUACGUAGGAAAGCGUGUGGUUUGCCGUUGUGUUUUAUCGGAUUGUUUUACGGAAAUACUGACUUGGUUUUUGGACACCUCAUUCUUACGGUCUGCUGUACUGCAGUUUUCCGAUAGGGGCCACUGCUUCAACAUCUUGCGCACUAGCGGACGCGGCAAGUGAGACGCCAUUGUUAGAUUGCGUUCUCGUGUAUAAAGUCGUGUGCCUAUUAUCAGCGUUGGUUAAAUCGUUUGUUGAAAAUAAUACGCAGUAUUCUUCGGUUCUAGAACGAGCCGAAAAUGCCGGGUUUUAGUAGCGUUGGCACAUUUAAAAUUUUUAUCGGUAAUUUAGCCGACAAAACAUCAAAUGCCGAUAUUAAACCAUUAUUUGAAAAAUAUGGAAAGGUUGUAGAAUGUGAUGUGGUCAAAAAUUACGGAUUUGUGCAUAUGGAGAAUGAAGAAGCAGGGAGAAAUGCGAUACAAAAUUUGAAUGGACAUAUAGUUCAUGGACAGCCGAUCAAAUGUGAGGCUGCAAAGAGUCGUAAGGGACCUAAUACUCCUACAACCAAAAUAUUUGUUGGCAAUCUCACAGAUAAUACGAAAGCGCCUCAAGUGCGCGAGUUGUUUGCCAAGUAUGGUACCGUUGUAGAAUGCGAUAUCGUGAGAAAUUACGGAUUCGUCCAUCUAGAAGCAACAGGUGAUGUCAACGAUGCCAUCAAGGAACUCAAUGGACAAAUGGUGGAUGGUCAACCGAUGAAGGUUCAAAUUUCUACAAGCAGAGUACGACAAAGGCCAGGAAUGGGGGAUCCUGAACAGUGCUAUCGAUGCGGUCGCGGCGGCCAUUGGUCCAAGGAAUGUCCAAAAGGAGGAAUGGGAGGAGGACCGGAUAGAAACGGAUACAGAGACCGAAUGUUUGGACGCGACCCGUAUCCUCCACCGCCGCCACCACCGUUCCUUCGGGAUCGGUUAAUGGGUGGUGGCCGCUUUGGAGAUUACGAAAGCUACUAUGACAGGAGAGGCUUCGAGGACACCAGGGAUCUCUACGAGAGGCGGUUUACGGGUAUGGGAUCCAUGCGCGACACUGGCUUCUCCCGUGGUAACGAGUAUGGCAUGUUCAGCCGCCGAUCACCCCCUCCAAGUGGCAACAAUGGCCGGUUCAGUGCACCUCAGGCUGCGUACCAUCUUUGUCCAUGAAUGCGGGCAACCCUAGAGAGACAGUCCCGGGCCAGCGUUCAAGUCGUGCAAGACGCUCCUUAUUACGUACAUCACUCAACCGGGAGUGGCGCGGAGGCCUGGGAUGAAGAAACGUUCCUAAGGAAUGCGAACUAGAUUUCUUGAUCGCACUACCGCGAGCCAGGAUGCGAUCCUACAAUUCUAACAAACUCUCAUACGCUGUAGAUAGAAAAGAAAAGAAAAGAAAAAAAAGGGCUGGCGCGAUUUUCAGGAACGACGCCUAUCGAUUGUCUUUGAAAUGUCUCGUAAGUAGAAACCAGCUCUCCAGACGCAUUGGACAGUAAGUUUGUUUGUAUGUCGGCGUUUCUAAUAGUUGUUAAGGCCAGUUUCAUAGAUACGCUUCGGAAACAUUCUAUUAAACGCGCAUCAGUUUCAAUGUAGUCUUGGUUCAAAGUAAUUUCAUCAAAUUUUUCAAUCGUAAUUUUUCGAUACCAACGGAAGGUUGUAAAUCGUAAAAUGUGUAUCGUGGAGAAACAAAUUACGAACAGCGUCAUAGAUAGUUUCGAGUUGUAUGUUAGAAGGAGGAAAAGCAAGUUAUGAUGCACACGUCGUGUAUUUCAAUAGUUAUUUCUGUUUCCAAGUAAUCGGGGGAAAGUGUGUAAUUCUUUAAUUUUUAAGUAAUUCGUUUUUACGUUUAUUAAAACGAAAAAUUUAUUUUCUUACGUUAUCGACACUAUGAUUAUAUACGUAUGAUCGUUUUCUUUCAGUUUUUUUUUCUUUUUUCUUUUCUCUCUGAUUUCAGUUUCAUACGAAGCUUUAUCGAUCUUAAUUUUAGUAAAAUUACGUUGUUGCAACGUAAGGAUAAAAAUUGUAUUAAUUGAUUUAUAAAAUUGCACUUCGAAUUGAUUGGAAAUGUUAAGUUAUCCGUGGAAGUUUCAUGAAACCGGCCCCGUGUAUUACAAUAUCGAAGCGGAAAGAUAUGCAAAAAAUUAUGAAAACGCGCGUGUACACAUUGACACGAGUACAUACCUAUUCUGCAUACGUGCAUAUGCACACAUAUACACGUGAACAAAUACACAAAUUUAUGCAGAGAGAGAGAGAGAGAGAGAGAGCGCACGCGAGAAAAAAGAGAGAGAGGGCGAGAAAAAGAGAGAUAGAUGGAUAGGGGGAAGAAUUUGCUUCAAAAUUACGAUCCAUAAGUUCUUGAAGCUGACUUCUACUCACGAGGUUCAAAGCUUUUCAUGUAUGUAAAUCCAUUCGCAAACUUUCAAAUAGAAAACAGAGUUGAUUGAA